GCUGGGGGCAUUGGUAUUUGGCAGCGAGAGGUGAAAUUCUUGGACCUGUCAAGGACUAACAAAUGCGAAGGCAUCUGUCCAGACCGUAUCCAUUAAUCAAGAACGAUAGUGAGAGGUUCGAAGACGAUCAGAUACCGUCCUAGUUCUCACCGUAAACUAUGCCGACCCGGGAUCAGUUUGGAGCUUUGUUCCAUGCUCGGAGUUGGUCCCCCUGGGAAACCUAAAGUUUUUCGGUUGCGGGGGGAGUAUGGUCGCAAGGCUGAAACUUAAAGGAAUUGACGGAAGGGCACCACCAGGGGUGGAGCCUGCGGCUUAAUUUGACUCAACACGGGAAAACUUACCUGGUCCGAACAUCCGAAGGAUACACAGACUAAUAGAUCUUUGUUGAUGGGG
rnacentral:rRNA from 1 species